AUUGAACGCUGGCGGCAGGCCUAACACAUGCAAGUCGAGCGGAUGAAGGGAGCUUGCUCCUGGAUUCAGCGGCGGACGGGUGAGUAAUGCCUAGGAAUCUGCCUGGUAGUGGGGGAUAACGUCCGGAAACGGGCGCUAAUACCGCAUACGUCCUGAGGGAGAAAGUGGGGGAUCUUCGGACCUCACGCUAUCAGAUGAGCCUAGGUCGGAUUAGCUAGUUGGUGGGGUAAAGGCCUACCAAGGCGACGAUCCGUAACUGGUCUGAGAGGAUGAUCAGUCACACUGGAACUGAGACACGGCCCAGACUCCUACGGGAGGCAGCAGUGGGGAAUAUUGGACAAUGGGCGAAAGCCUGAUCCAGCCAUGCCGCGUGUGUGAAGAAGGUCUUCGGAUUGUAAAGCACUUUAAGUUGGGAGGAGGGGCAGUAAGUUAAUACCUUGCUGUUUUGACGUUACCAACAGAAUAAGCACCGGCUAACUUCGUG
rnacentral:rRNA from 1 species